rnacentral:rRNA from 1 species
GAUCGAGUUGUAAUUUGAAGAAGCGUUUUCUGCGUAUUUGGUCAGCCUAAGUCCUAUUGAAUGAGGCAUCAUGGAGGGUGAUAAUCCCGUCCGGUUGAUCAUUUGCGUUUUACGAUACGCUUUCUAAGAGUCAAGUUGUUUGGGAUUGCAGCUUAAAAUGGGAGGUAAAUUUCUUCCUAAGGAUGAAUAACGGCGAGAGACCGAUAGCGAACAAGUACC